UAUGGGUUUAAGUUUUAUUAAAAAUGUUUGGACUCAACCUUUAAUUUCUUAAUGGGCUGUAGGAUUUUAUUUUAAAUAGGUUAUAUUUGUUUUUAAAAUAAAUAUCAACCCACCCAAAUCUUUUUAUAAGAAAAUAUAUUUUAUUACUUAAAUUUAUUAGAUCAAUUAUUUUUAUAUGAUCCAAUAAUCUAAAUUAUUUUAAAGUUCAAAUAGGCCCUUAUAUGUUAUUAUUUGAAUUUAUCUGACUAGGUGCGGCGCGACUAGGAUAUGAAUUUUAAUUGUAUUACUCAAGUUAGCAUUCAAGUUGAAGUUCAAGUUCAAGUUAAAUUUCCAGUUUCAGGUGAUUGAUAUCGGAGGCGCGUGGAGAGUCGAAUGGGCGCGUCGAAUCUAUUUAAAGAUAAAUGUUUCCUAAAACAUAUUAUGUUAUUUCAUGUGAUAUCUCUUGAUUAUGUAAACUCUGAAAUUCUAUACUAUUUGAGAUUUGUGUGUGAUUUGUUUAAAUAAAUGUUAUUAUAUUAUUUUAAUGUCA